CUGCUGCCGCCCGUCAUCAUCGUCCGUAUGCCACUUUUUUGUCCGCCCACCAUAGAGAGCUUGGCUGGACGCCUCGGGCUCGUCGACGUUCUUUUCGCCCUGUCGGGCACGCACGGCGCUGGCGCGCGCGUGUGUGUCUCCCCGUGCAGGGCAGAACGUCUCCGAGGCGCCGAGCGGCUUUGACCGUGUGCUCGUGUGGUUCGCGCGGGACCAGCUCAGUACCCCGCGUAUAUUUAACUCCGGAACGGCAUAGCGCCCACGGCUCUCGAACUGCGUGCUCGGUUGUUUGUGCGCGAACAUGUAGCUUUUUGUUACCGAACGAAGGAUCGUAAAUGCAGCACCCUACAGGCGCUCCGGCCAGCGCCCGGAGCAGCCGCGCAUCACCGGGAGCUAAAAGGCCACGCACACGGCAGAGUCCACCCUGCGUCCUGCCACCUGCCAACGUGCCUAACUGUGCGUCAUUGCAACCACUGUAUACAUGCAGAAAGUGCGGUGGCCGCUGUAAAAUGCGUGCGUGCUCUCCGAUACUCCGUCGUCUGCAACGCAUGCUCGGAUAACGACUCACGCGCGACCUUCCAAACAGAAAGAAACAUUUAGUAAAGAAGUUGAAAAGCAAGGUUCACUUCGUCUGACAUUGCGCCGGAGGCAGGAAUCGACUCGUUCGUCAUUCAAGGAAUACUGCUCCUUUACCAAUCCCUUGCUCUUGGAACGUGCCUUAACUGUAGAAGAGGAGGAAGAAGAAGAAGCCCUGCUCAGCCGGCCGCACCUUUCGUUCUUCGGGUGUGAGUCGAAACGCAGCUGACGACAACGCGGGCAACCUGGGCCUCUUUGGUCAACCCAGCAAGGGGAAAGGAAGUCCUCGGGACCAGAUACGGCAAGGUCGAAGAUCUGUCCCCCUGGAGCGAGAAGUACUGCCAGUUCAUGGAAAUACUCGCUCCGGUGAGCCUCAACUCGGCCGAGGUAACCUCGAGUGCUCCCUGCGAACGAGAGUCCAUCCAGAAUUUCGAGGUGCCUCAAGCUGCGUUUGAGCAGCUCGACGGAAGCAAGAGCGAAACCAUGGCGCGAUUGGCCGAGGACCGCCUCCUGGAUGACUUCCAGCUCGUCCGGCGGUCCAGGGACAUCUUCGACGCCUACUACCCUGGCCCGGUGGUCGAAUCCUCGGAGGCUGAAGGCGUUACACGAGUAUGCAUUGUCACGUCUCGCUCGCUCGGAUCCCUCGCCAACCCGACGAUUGCCGACGGCUCGACCGACGCCAAGACUUUUCACGCGCCAGUUUCAACAGCGAUGCGAAUGACGAGCUGCGCGUGUGCCGGACAUUCUUCGAACCGCUUCGUGGCGUCUGCACGCCAAUCCGUGGAGCAGGAGCUGAGGUCGUGCCGCCAGCUGUGCUAAGAGCGCAUAUUCUAGUUGUAAGCAGAACGCGCCAUUCAGGUCGUCUACGGGAAACACCAAAGGGAGCGCACAAGUCGCCGACCAGAUCCGGAAAUCCAUGAGCAUCAAGGAAGAGCCAAGAGGCAUCUUCCGAAUCGCCAGUUUACGAAACUUUUAAUCCAGUGCGCCUCAUGUGCCGACACAUGUCAAACGAUGUCGCUUGCCGCCCUUCUUAGUGAAGAGCAAUAACAUCAAAUAGCCAGGAACUGGAGUGGAUGGAUUUAUUCGAGUGCUGCUUCCGGCAACAUACAAUUGUUAAAAUAGAUACUCAACUCCUUAUGGAGUUGUGCUUGCGAUGCU